CGAGAUGAUUACCCAAGAAGAACAUUCGUGCCUGGCGCGAGAGGAGGACUGACCAUUGAUAGCCUCUACACCAACAAAAAUCACAUAGAUCCCUUGUGCGAGGGAUCCAUACAGGGAUACAAAGUCGCCCUGCACCACCCUUCAGAGAUGCCUAACAUGGACAGGUGCUUUCUUCUACCGUUAGAUCAAGUGGUAUUCGUUGGUAUUAAGCCAUCUUUAAUAUCAGUAUCGCCCGAAUUGGUAAACUAUGCUCCUCGAGUGAGGAACUGUUAUUUUACACACGAAAGAUAUUUGGCCAGUUACAAGGGGUACACUCAGCAAAAUUGCAUGGAAGAAUGCCUGGCUAAUUACACUAUGAAACGGUGCAAAUGCAUUCCGUUUUUCUUUCCCCCGUUACACGACAAAAUAAAUAUUUGUGGACCAGGCAGUAGUGAGUGUGUAAGAGAAAGUCAGUGUAUGUUUUAAGAUGAUUGUGACGAUAAACUUUAAUAACUACUUUUUUAAGUGAAGUAUUUGGAAGUCGAACCAUGCGAAUGUUUGCCAUCGUGUACUUCCGUGUCGUACGACGUCGAAACGUCUCAAACAAACUGGCUGUGGAAUGAUGUGUUGGAAGCUUCACAUCCAUUGGAAAGGCUUAUAUAUA